ensembl:lncRNA
AUGACAUUAAAUCACACUCUCCCUGUACAGGAAGAAUUCUCCCAGCAGAGACUGGUGAAAAGACAGAAGGCUCUGGAAUUAAUCAAGCUGGGUUUCGGCUUCAGUUUUGUCCCUCAUAGCUACUCCUCUGGGUCUGUAUAUUUUUAUCACCUCCCAGAGAUCAUACCUCCUGGUAAGUAGGAGUCAUUCAGCUUGCAGCACUGUCUGACAUAUACUAACCUUCAAUGCAUAUCUCAUUAUUGAUUGAUUUUUUUUUGAGAGAUAAUUUUAAAAGGCAUCUUGCUUCAGUGUGAGCAGAACUAUGAAAUCAUAAUCUCAGUCAUAGGGAAAAUACAGUUCCAUUUGUGUACUGAGUUUCUUUAGAAACAUUUCUAAUGUGUAGAGUAAUGAACACUUUUUAUUCUUGUAGCUGAAAGAUGAAUGAAAAUAGUAAAAUGGCUUUGUAAAAAAUAAUGGCAUCAAGGGAAAUGUCAUAAAAUACUAGAGAGUUUAUCAUUUUGCAUUACUUCUUUUUCUCUUUUUUUCCUAUGCUGGUAAAAACAAGUUACUAGAGCAUUUUAAGUGUCCAUCUUUAUAGCCUUGUUAAUAUAACAGUAACAUUUGUAACAGUGUGUUUUUACUUGCCAUAUAACACAUGGAUGUGAGAGAGUGGGUAAAAUUCUUUGUUGAAAGUAUAUUAUUCAUUAUGCAAUUCUUCGUAUUGACUUGUAACACUAUGUUAUAAAAUUUAGAAGAAAAAGAUACUUAAAGGUAAGAAAUAAAGAUGAUGUUUUAAAUUUUUUCUCAGUGGAUUUUUUUAAAUCCUUGGGAUGUUGCUUUUACAAAUUAUGGUUAGCUUUUUGCUUUCUCCCUCUCUCUCCUUUUACUCAGACCAUUUUUGGUAGAUAAGGAAGACUUAGGGAUUGGAAGACUUCAAACAGAUGGGCACUGGCACCUUAGGUCUGAUUUUAUCAGACUGCAUUGUGCCCUGUAGGAAAUGUUGUUAUUGAGGUAACUAAGCAUAAGGCAUUAUGGUCAUGCCAUGUUGAUUUUGGGAAUCAAAAAAUAACAUUUUCGCUCGGGUCUGACAGAAAAUCAGUUUACUUAAUGGUUUUGCCCUUAACCUUAAAUGGAACAAGAUGGAACUAAAAAUUUUAAAUCUAUAUGGUUAUUAAGGAAUGAUUAGAUAUUGUCUCACAGGGCAUUUUGGCACUGUGCUUGUAAAAUAAUACUUUUUUUUGUUUUGUUUUUCAAUGGUCAAUUCUCAGUCUUCAUUGUACUUGACCUCUCAGCACAUAUGAUGCAGUUGCUCACAACCUCUUCCUUGAUAUCUUUUCUUCACAUGGUUUCUAGGACAUCAAAAGCCCAUGGUUUUAAUCCUAAUUCACUGGCUUGUUUUUCUCAGUCUUGUUAACUGAAGCUCUCUUUUCUGCCUAUCCCCUGAUUGUUGGAGUGUCUCAGCACAUUCACUCCCUUGGCAAUUGCAUCCAGUCUCAUACCUUAUAUACUGAGUACAUGCAAACAGAUCCCAAAUUUAUAUCUCUUGUUCAGAGCUCUAGCCUGACCUACAGAUGUCAGUAUCUGCUGUUGACCUGACUUCUCUAUUUGAAUGUCUAACAGAUAUCUCAUGUCACACCUGUCUGAAACCCUCCCUUUCCAAACCUGUUUCAUUCUCAGUAUUCUCUAUCUCAUUUAAUGGCACUUCCAUCAUUCCAGUUAGUAAACCAGAAAUAGUGGUUUAAUCCUUUACUCCUUUCUUUUACUUAAAUCCCACAUACAAUCCAUUAUGAAAUGCUGUUGGCUGUAGUUUCAAAAUAUAUAUGUUUCAUUCACAUUCUACCGCUUUCAUUCUACCACUCUGACUCAAAACAUCAUCAACUUUCAUCUCCAUAACCAUAAUGGCAUUCUAAUUUAACUUGCCUGUCUCCUCCUACCAUUGUCCCCCACAUCCUGCCCCCUUCAAUGGUCUAAACCCAGCAGAGCAGCCAGAGGGAUCUUGUUAAAAAGUCAGUCAGAUCUUCCUGCUCCUUGCUCAAGACUCCCUUUCUACUCAGAGAAAAUCAAGGUAAAUCAGUGGCUUUAAGAUCCUGCAUGAUCUCACCUCUGUUACUUCUCUGAUUUUCUCUCUAGCUACUCUUUUCCUUGCUUCUACCUUUACUGGCCUCUGCUUUUUCCCAAUACACAGGAAUGUUCCCGCCCUUUCCUCUGCCUACAAUAUUCUUCCCCUAUGUAUCCUCCUUGCUAAUUAUCUCAACCCCUUAAUGUCAUUUCCCAAAUGAUAUUCUUCCAAUGAGGCCUGUUUCCUGAGCACCCUAUUUAAAAUGGCACCGUGCCUAACUGCCCAACUCUCCAGAUACCCCUUAUCUUCCUCUAUUUUUUUUUUUUAGUUUUUUUAAUUGUCUUUCUCUGUUGUAUUGUAAACUUCAUGUUUGCAGGGACCUGUACUUAUUUUGCUCAUUGAUGUAUCCGAAGAUGCUAGAAGGUUCUGGCACAAUGUAGGCUCUAAUAAAUAUUUGGGUAAUGAGUGAAUGAGUAGUGGAGAAGCAGUGACCUGACAGCUUCUUCACUGCUUGGUAUAAGGGGCUAGUUCAGUAUUGGAGAGACUGUCUCACCACAGUCUCAUUACUGUUGUUCCUUUUAAAGAGAAAGGCUAUUGGGCUAAUUAGGAUUU